ACGAAGGGGGCUAACGUUGUUCGGAAUUACUGGGCGUAAAGCGCGUCUAGGCGGCUUAGUAAGUCUGAUGUGAAAAUGCGGGGCUCAACCCCGUAUUGCGUUGGAAACUGCUAAACUAGAGUACUGGAGAGGUAGGCGGAACUACAAGUGUAGAGGUGAAAUUCGUAGAUAUUUGUAGGAAUGCCGAUGGGGAAGCCAGCUCACUGGACAAAUACUGACGCUAAAGCGCGAAAGCGUGGGGAGCAAAUAG
rnacentral:rRNA from 1 species